AUUUAGCUGGUGAGUUCAAAAUAGGACAAAACACGCGUCCUGGAU
rnacentral:hammerhead_ribozyme from 1 species